rnacentral:rRNA from 1 species
AUACGGAGGGUGCAAGCGUUACUCGGAAUCACUGGGCGUAAGGGACGCGUAGGCGGGUUGGUAAGUCAGGUGUGAAAUCCUACAGCUUAACUGUAGAACUGCAUUUGAAACUGCUAACCUAGAGCAUGAGAGGGGGAGAUGGAAUUAGUGGUGUAGGGGUAAAAUCCGUAGAUAUCACUAGGAAUACCGAAAGCGAAGGCGAUCUCCUGGAACAUAACUGACGCUAAGGCGUGAAAGCGUGGGGAGCAAACAGGAUUAGAAACCCCAGUAGUCC